GCAUACAAGGGUGAGAGUGAAUAAUUUGUUAUAGCAAAACGGAUUUAGGUAAAGAGAAAAAGAGAAUGGCAAAUAUCAAAUGUACAAAAAGCUUGGCCACAGCAAAAGAAUAAUGGGUCACUUGGGGCCUUUGAAUCUUGGUAACUGAAGUAAAGAAUGAUAGAAUAUGUUCUAGUACAUGAUAAGGCAACUCAGAAACAGCCCAUGUAGCUUUCCCCAGGC
rnacentral:lncRNA from 1 species